rnacentral:lncRNA from 1 species
AAAGAGAGAGAGAGAGAGAAAGAGAGAGAGAGAAAGGAGAGACAGAAAGAGAGAGAGAAAGGAGGGGAGGAGGAUGAUUCAGGGAGUAGGAGCUGGGGAGCCCUGCUGCGCUACAGCCUCAGUGCUGCUCUUCUCUGAGAGAGAAAACUUCUGAUGGCUUGGUGAAGAGAAGAAAAACGUCAGAUAGGCCAAGUACUGUCAUACUGCAAUUACUUUUGGUGACUGUCUCUACCCUGUGCAAUGUAUAAGUCUGUGUCUGAAACUAGACAUCCUCUGCAGUCAGAAGAACAAGAAGUAGGCAUUGACCCCUUGUUCAGUUAUUCAAACAAGCCAAGAGAUUCCUGUCAAAAUGGAAGAGGAGCAAAUUCCAACUUAGACUGCGACGGGACUUUCAGUUCAUAUAUGAGAGAGUGGGACGACCUCUUUGUAAAUAACAACUACUUGGCAGCAGUGAGGCAGAAGGGGAUUAAUGGGCAGCUGAGAAGCAGCAGGUUCCGCAGCAUUUGUUGGAAGCUCUUUCUUUGUGUUCUUCCUCAAGAUAAAAGUCAAUGGAUCAGUAGAAUUAAAGAACUAAGAUCCUGGUAUAGCAAUAUUAAAGAAAUACAUAUCACUAAUCCAAGGAAAGUUGUUGGCCAACAGGAUCUGAUGAUAAACAAUCCCCUCUCACAAGAUUCACGGCCAUGCUGCUCUACAUCCGAGACGCUCCGAGGAAGUGUGCCAGCAGACAGGCCUGGCAGCAGAAACCACACAAGAUCACAAGAGGAAAACAGCAUAAGUGAACUUGAAAUGGUAUUGUUCUUUAAGUUCUCAAACCUUGCCCCAGUGACAUAUAUCCUCCAGGACGACCACAUCCCAGGCCUCCCCAAACACAGCCAACCAUCUGAGGACCAAGCAAGCAUUCAAAUGCCAGAGUCCAUGGACAACGUAUAUCAUUUAAACCCCCACAAGUAGCAGUGUUCAAUCACCACCUCCCUGGGGGAUCCCUGAAUGGGGCUUAUCACUUUUUUUUGUCUCAAACCUUUGUGUGCACCAAAAAAUUUUAGGCAUUCAUUUAGAUGCAUACAUAUUGGAAAUGCUAGACCUUGAGCUCCAAUGAUGAGUACAAGGUGUUAUUGUCACUGAAGUAUAAUAAAUUAUGAGAAAAAAAGCCUUCAGGUUUCUUUGUUUAUUAACUCAUUGCUCUUAUUGUCUCUGUAAACUAUGAUUGUUCUACAUUACACAUUCUUAAUAAAAGAGCUGUGUUGCUUUGAUUCUAA